GCCUUCAUAGCUCAGGGGUAGAGCACUCGCCUUGUAAGCGAAAGGUCCGUGGUUCAAAUCCGCGUGGGGGCU
rnacentral:tRNA from 1 species